rnacentral:rRNA from 1 species
GACGAACGCUGGCGGCGUGCUUAACACAUGCAAGUCGAACGGAAAGGCCUCUUUCGGGGGGUACUCGAGUGGCGAACGGGUGAGUAACACGUGAGUAACCUGCCCUUGACUUUGGGAUAACUUCAGGAGACUGGGGCUAAUACCGGAUAGGAGCUCCUGCUGCAUGGUGGGGGUUGGAAAGUUUCGGCGGUUGGGGAUGGACUCGCGGCUUAUCAGCUUGUUGGUGGGGUAGUGGCUUACCAAGGCUUUGACGGGUAGCCGGCCUGAGAGGGUGACCGGCCACAUUGGGACUGAGAUACGGCCCAGACUCCUACGGGAGGCAGCAGUGGGGAAUAUUGCACAAUGGGUGGAAGCCUGAUGCAGCAACGCCGUGUGCGGGAGGACGGCCUUCGGGUUGUAAACCGCUUUCGCUCAUGACGAAGCUUUGUGUGACGGUAGUGGGUAAAGAAGCACCGGCUAACUACGUG